rnacentral:lncRNA from 1 species
CCCAACUAAGAUUAGCCACCGAUGUAUCUAAUCUAUUCAUCCAAGCCUCCUGCUUCUCCAACCUAUCUCUCACAUCUCCAAACGCCCUCUCAAACCUUUACACUAAAUCCUUCGAUGCAUUGCUAUUAUUGCCUUGUCAGCUUGAGUUUGAUUCUGCCCUUUCUGACAUCCUAACACUAAAAUUUUAUUUUACUGCCUCACCAAAAGUCACUCGGAACACACACAAGGGCUUUUACCCUCUAUUAAGCUCACCUCUCUGCCUUUUACCACUCA